rnacentral:rRNA from 1 species
AUGGAGGAGAGUUCCAGUAGUACUAUCGAAAUUCAUGACAUGGAACCUGAUGUAUUCGAGUCCUUGCUCCAUUUUAUAUACACCGACUCCGCUCCUGUGCUUCAGAUGGCCAGUGAAAAAAGUGAACCAUGUGUAGAUGUGGUGAUGGCCGGCCAUCUACUUGUGGCGGCUGACAGGUACAAUAUUGGGAGGCUGAGGGUGAUACUUGAGGAGAAACUGUGCAGUCACAUUGAUUCCAGCAUGGUGGCAACCAGCUUGGCUUUAGCUGAGCAGCAUGGUUUCCAUCGUCUCAAAGAAGCUUGUUUCCAGUUCCUCUCUUCUCCACCCAAUUUGGAGGCAAUGAUGGCAAGUGAUGGGUAUGAGCACCUGAAAUCCAGCUGUCCAUCUGUUCUCAAGGAGCUGAUAGCUAGAAUCAUCCCAGCUGAAUGGAAAGCGGCAAAGGAUAUUAUCAUGGCAAUUUAG